UUUGUAGCUUGGUAAGAUCAGUUUUGCUGCUGUGAAGCCUGGUUUUUCAACAGGGGAGGAAAGGAGAGACUUGCUUCCCUGGACCUUGCUUUGGCAUGUAAGGAACUUGCAGGGUCUCUAAGGGCUGAACCAGGGAAGAUGCAUAUUGGAGCAGACUUUCAAGUGAAUCUACAGUGAAGAUCAAGAAGGUGUGAGAGGAGUAUCCAGUUCAAUGAUCCUUCAGUUACCAGACUUGCAACACCUCUACAAAUAAUUACGCUCCUGAGAAAAGAAAUUAUCCCACAAGUGGCUUUCCAGUUUCCAAGAUCCUAAAUGUGGUUCAGCAAACUGGCUUCAGGAGGAGUCUUAUUGAUAUGCAACAAGUAUUCAUUUUAAAAGGUGAUGGUUAAUGGGUUAUCAGAGCUCAUAACCCAACAAUGCAGGAGGACCUGAUGAGACAUGGGUCAUCACCAGGGAGUGUUGACCAUAACAGACUGCAGCUUGUUCACAUCACAUUCAGGAUCAGUAUUCCCAGGCCACUAGGCCAGUGAUCAUGACUUUGGGCUCCCUGCAAACAUAUCACUCUCAGAUGCAAACUCCACAACAAAAGCAUCAAGUUGCUGAGCCCAAUGCAGGUGUGACUUUGAGGACAGGGUGAGAAUAAACCAGGAUGCUAUUUUUUCUCUAGUGUCUCUCACUUGUUGAUUGGGUUUCCCAAGUGACAGAGAACAGUGAGAGAGGAGCAGGGCUGUCAGAGAAGCUAGAGUAGACAAGGGUCUGGAGUGGCAGUGCUCCAGCAUUUCACAUGGUGAAUAUUUGAAGAAAAGUAUAUUCGUAAGUCUCAAUGAUUUUCUUAAAAGUAACAGUAGCAAGUGAUCUUUCGACUUGUCUCAUUUCCUCCAAUCUCAUUUCACCUGAUCUUUUCCCCUCCCUUUGCUCUCCUUCCCUCCUUUCUCCUUCCCCUCCCCUCCUCUUUCCUUCUCUCCCACCUUCCCUCCACUUUCCUGCAUCUCCCAGUUUCUCUCUGUUUCCUUCUUACCCUUACUCCUUUCACUGACUGUGAGUAUUUCUCAGAUCAGAAAUUCUACAUCCUUGGAAGAAGCAGCGGAAAAGUAAUAUUCUGAAUUGAGAAAGAAAAUUUGAAGUUAUAGCCAUGAAAGACAUUGUAAAAUUAAACUCAUUAAAAUUCCCACAAGUUUUUAAUUCAUUUUUUAAUCUGUUGAUGGGGAUGACUGGGCAGACUCACUCGAGGUUUGCUUCUUCAUUUUAUAACACAUAUAUGUUUCUAUGAAAUAGAACCUGGUAGGGGAUGUGGCUCAUUGUAGAGUGCUCAUUUUGCAUGUCUGAGGCCUUGGGUUCUAUCUUUAGCACCACAAGAUAAAAAAGUAAUUAAUCAAUUAGUUAAUUAAAUAACUCCUAGGCUAAGAGUUUGAAAUUGUUCCUAACAAUAACACUUCUCUAUGGAAAUCUGUCCAUAAAAAAUAAUUCAGAACAAUUCAGAAGAAUGUUUAUGUACAGCAACACUAAUUUCAACUUUACCUAUAAGCACCUUUAUAUUGGAAACAAUCUAGAUGGGACAAAAAUCUCUCUGGCUUGUUCACUUUAAGGCAUAUGAUGUUUAUAAAGCAUUGGAAACUUGUUUGUUAUAAAGUUGAAGUGAAAAGAAUUGGUGCAUAAAAUAUAAUCACAACUACAUGGAAUAAAUUAAAAGAACAAAAACCUACCAAGUGAGAAAACAGAGGCCUGCAACACACAACAUCACUAUAGGGACCGCCCAGGGACGGCAAGAUUCUUGCUGAAUAAUAAGACUGCUUUUGUGUGUCACCUUUUACAUUUCUUUAAUUUCCCCCUAUUUCACUCUGACCAGGCCUGUAUUUCUUCACACCAAAAUCAAAUAAGCUUUUGUUAGCGGCAGCAACAAGAUGCCGUUCCUUGGAAAUGUCUGUGAGAUCUUCAGCAUCUACUGGGAUCUUCUGAGAUGGCCAUUCUCCUGCUGAGGUCAUGGAUGACGUCCGUCCUUGUAACCAGAUCCAGUAGGCGUGCCCUGCCCUUGUUUUAACAACCCUCCAGCAGCAUUUAAUGUGGUUAAUCAGUCUUUCCUGACACUCUGUUGAAACCCCAUUUCCUCCUGGGAGUGUGCCUACAACACUUGCCAAUCUUGAGUCUUUUGUCUCUCCCGUUUCUCUGAAUGUUCUUCCUCCUCCACUAAAACCCUGAAUGCUAGAAUCCCCCUCCCCCACCCCAGGGCCUCCCCCCACAUCUCUCAUGCCUUACUUAAGUACCAGAAUCCUCUCAUUUUAGCUGAAUCAACUUCUUGGCUUCUUGGUCCAGACCUCCUUUUCUUGGGAUGACUACAUGACUGCUUAUAUGUCAUCUCUACUCAAAUAGCUCAAGCUAUUUCAAAGUUACAUCCAAAAGGACAGUCUUUAUCCUUCCACUCUAUGAUAGAAUUUUACAUUUAUUUUAUUUUAGUUUUAGCUUUUUUUAUUUUUAGGACACACCAGCAGAGCUCAGGGACUACUCCUAGCUCUGUGCUCAGGAAUCACUCCUGUGAUUGGAAAAACCUGUGAGUUAUCUGGGACUGAACUAGGGUUGGUCACAUGCAAGGCAAGUUCCCAACCUGCUGUACUAUUGCUCCAGUCACAACAUUCUUCUACUUUUUAAUUUUUAAAAAAUCAAUGAAAAUAAAGUCCU